CCCACCCAGCAGGCAGCUCCGCCUACCUUGGCUAUCCCCCUCUGAGUUCUUGACUUGAUUCUCCUGUUAUUGUCCUGCAAACCCACAUCCCUACAAAGCGGGAAAGUGUGCCUGGGAGAGGCCAUGUGAGUGGCGAGCCAGCCCAAAGCCAGGCGUCCAGGGUCUCCCUCACCUGAAGCUGACUUUUUCCCCAUCUUGGACAGAGGGCGGGAGAUGCCAUCCCCACUGAACCCAGUGCUUUCACCAGCCAUAUUAGCUCCCACCCACCCCCGCCGUGGAAGCCUCGGCUGUCACACCUGCAGGGCCGGGGCGUGCAUGGCCUCAGGGAUGGCCUGUUCAGCUGCUGAGUGACUCGGGUCCGGUGCCUCACCACCUGCUGAGCUCUGUGUGCUUUCUGGGCACUUCUGCUCAUUGCCUUUGGGCUCAGUGAAGAGUCUGGAGUUUAUGUGGAGUGAGGUGGUCGGGUCUUGGUGAGAUCUGAGCAGGACAGCAUCUGGCUCCUUCCCUUGGCUCAUGGCCCUCAGGGUCUGCGUCACACACACCCCAGCUCUCCCGACGGGUCUCUGCACUCGCUGUUGCCUCCGCCUGGAAGUCUUCCUCCUGGUGUCAUCGUCUCCGUGGUGCAUCCUUCCUGAUGUUCCACCUCCACCAGGUGCCGACACUUCCCUGACGCUGGUAUCCUCUUCUCGCGGGGAGAAAUCAGAAUCUAAGGAGUCAGAAUGUAAGGUUCCUGUUGGAACCCAGGCUCCAGGGUCCCUGGUUUUCUGUGACAUCAUGCUGCAAGACCCUGUUUCUCUCUUUGCUUUGGCUGCUGGGUAGCUCAGAAGGGAGCUCUAGGCUUACCCUCAGCCACCACAUUAGCUCAGGGGUUUGGGCAUUUUUGUCGCUGGCUCCUUUGGGCUCUUUGUCCUCCCUGCUGUGCUUCCCGAGGAACAGGCCGGAUGUAAGUUAU
rnacentral:lncRNA from 1 species